GUUAAGAUGCAAUUUAGAGAAAAUUGUAACUUUUGGCCCAAAGGUUUGAAUAAUUAAAUUUAAACCUAUAGUUUUUUUUAAUAUAAUUUUGGGACUCACAAUCCCAUUUUUAUAUUAUUUUUCUCUCUUCCUCUCACGUUGCUCGGCGUUUUCUCGCAAGGGGGGAUUAUUUUCUUUUUCUUCAGAUUAUAUUGACAAAGAUAGUGGUGAAAAAGGAGUUGUGAAGGGGAACUUGUUAUUCAAGACACAAGGAGCGAGUCCGGCCGAGAAAGCACCAGAGGUGUAAUUAUGGUGUAUGAGACACCAUCUUUUACGUUGCCUCUCAUUUUGUAUUAUGCAAUGAAUCUUGUGCCAACCUAGGACAUUUCUUAUUUUAACAACAUGUAAACUCUAAUCCUUUUUAUUAAAUACAAUUAUAUGACCAAAAGGAUUAUGUUUGUCCCCCUUGAUUCAUGACCUGAUUUAAAUAUCAUGCCAUGAGAA